rnacentral:rRNA from 1 species
AAUAGAUACCCAGGUAGUCCACGCCGUAAACGAUGGAUACUAGCUGUUCGGUCGCAAGAUUGAGUGGCUAAGCGAAAGUGAUAAGUAUCCCACCUGGGGAGUACGAACGCAAGUUUGAAACUCAAAGGAAUUGACGGGGGCCCGCACAAGCGGUGGAGCAUGUGGUUUAAUUCGAUGAUACGCGAGGAACCUUACCAAGGCUUAAAUGUAUAUUGACAGGACUGGAAACAGUUUUUUCUUCGGACAAUUUACAAGGUGCUGCAUGGUUGUCGUCAGCUCGUGCCGUGAGGUGUCAGGUUAAGUCCUAUAACGAGCGCAACCCCUGUUGUUAGUUGCCAGCGAGUCAAGUCGGGAACUCUAACAAGACUGCCAGUGUAAACUGUGAGGAAGGUGGGGAUGACGUCAAAUCAUCACGGCCCUUAGCCUUGGGCUACACACGUGCUACAAUGGCCGGUACAGAGAGCAGCCACUGCGCGAGCAGGAGCGAAUCUAUAAAACCGGUCACAGUUCGGAUCGGAGUCUGCAACUCG